GAUGAACGCUGGCGGCGUGCUUAACACAUGCAAGUCGAACGGAAAGGCUCCUGCUUGCAGGGGUACUCGAGUGGCGAACGGGUGAGUAACACGUGGGUGAUCUGCCCUGCACUUCGGGAUAAGCCUGGGAAACUGGGUCUAAUACCGGAUAGGACGAUGGUUUGGAUGCCAUUGUGGAAAGUUUUUCGGUGUGGGAUGAGCUCGCGGCCUAUCAGCUUGUUGGUGGGGUAAUGGCCUACCAAGGCGUCGAGGGGUAGCCGGCCUGAGAGGGUGUACGGCCACAUUGGGACUGAGAGACGGCCCAGACUCCUACGGGAGGCAGCAGUGGGGAAUAUUGCACAAUGGGCGCAAGCCUGAUGCAGCGACGCCGCGUGGGGGAGGACGGCCUUCGGGUUGUAAACUCCUUUCGCGAGGGACGAAGCGUUUUGUGACGGUACCUGGAGAAGAAGCACCGGCUAACUACGUG
rnacentral:rRNA from 1 species